CCCUUAGACGUUCUGGGCCGCACGCGCGCUACACUGACCAGUGCAACAAGCAUCCGUCCUUGGCCGACAGGCUCGGGCAAUCUUUGAACGCUGGUCGUGAUGGGGAUAGACUUUUGCAAUUUUUGGUCUUCAACGAGGAAUUCCUAGUAAACGCAAGUCAUCAACUUGCAUUGAUUACGUCCCUGCCCUUUGUACACACCGCCCGUCGCACCUACCGAUUGAAUGGUCCGGUGAAGCCUCCGGAUUGGCGCGCACCUCGGUGCCGCCGAGAAGUUGGCUAAACCUUACCAUUUAGAGGAAGGUGANGUCGUNACA
rnacentral:rRNA from 1 species